GGAGAGGUGACCGAGUGGUCGAAGGUGCACGACUGGAAAUCGUGUGUACCGAAAGGUACCGGGGGUUCGAAUCCCUUCCUCUCCG
rnacentral:tRNA from 2 species